CCUACGGGUGGCAGCAGUGAGGAAUAUUGGUCACUGGCCGCCGGGCUGAACCAGCCAAGUCGCGUGAGGGAUGACGGCCCUAUGGAUUGUAAACCUCUUUUGUCAGGGAGCCAAGGGCGCCCCGUGUGGCGUUUUGCGAGUACCUGAAGCAAAAGCAUCGGCUACCGCCGUGCCAACAGCCGCGGUAAUACGGAGGAUGCGAGCGUUAUCCUGAUUUCUUGGGUUAACAGGGUGCGCAGGCGGAAUGUCAAGUCAGCGGUAAAAUUUCGGGGCUCACCCCCGUCGUGCCGUUGACACUGGCGGUCUUGAGUGAGCGAGAAGUGUGCGGAAUGCGUGGUGUAGCGGUGAAAUGCAUAGAUAUCACGCAGAACCCCGAUUGCGAAGGCAGCAUGCCGGCUUCCUACUGACGCUGAAGCACGAAAGCGUGGGGAUCGAACAGGAUUAGAUACCCCAGUAGUC
rnacentral:rRNA from 1 species